GAGUUUGAUCAUGGCUCAGGACGAACGCUGGCGGCGUGCUUAACACAUGCAAGUCGAACGAUGAAGCCCAGCUUGCUGGGUGGAAGAGUGGCGAACGGGUGAGUAACACGUGAGUAACCUGCCUAUCACUCUGGGAUAAGCGCUGGAAACGGCGUCUAAUACUGGAUACGACCUACCAUCGCAUGGUGUGUGGGUGGAAAGAUUUAUCGGUGGUAGAUGGACUCGCGGCCUAUCAGCUUGUUGGUGAGGUAAUGGCCCACCAAGGCGACGACGGGUAGCCGGCCUGGGAGGGUGAUCGGCCACACUGGGACUGAGACACGGCCCAGACUCCUACGGGAGGCAGCAGUGGGGAAUAUUGCACAAUGGGCGCAAGCCUGAUGCAGCAACGCCGCGUGAGGGACGAAGGCCUUCGGGUUGUAAACCUCUUUUAGUAGGGAAGAAGCGAAAGUGACUGUACCUGCAGAAAAAGCACCGGCUAACUACGUGCCAGCAGCCGCGGUAAUACGUAGGGUGCAAGCGUUGUCCGGAAUUAUUGUGCGUAAAGAGCUCGUAGGCGGCUUGUCGCGUCUGCUGUGAAAACCCGAGGCUCAACCU
rnacentral:rRNA from 1 species